AUUGAACGCUGGCGGCAGGCCUAACACAUGCAAGUCGAGCGGUAGAGAGGUGCUUGCAUCUCUUGAGAGCGGCGGACGGGUGAGUAAUGCCUAGGAAUCUGCCUAGUGGUGGGGGAUAACGUUCGGAAACGGACGCUAAUACCGCAUACGUCCUACGGGAGAAAGCGGGGGAUCUUCGGACCUCGCGCCAUUAGAUGAGCCUAGGUCGGAUUAGCUAGUUGGUGAGGUAAUGGCUCACCAAGGCGACGAUCCGUAACUGGUCUGAGAGGAUGAUCAGUCACACUGGAACUGAGACACGGUCCAGACUCCUACGGGAGGCAGCAGUGGGGAAUAUUGGACAAUGGGCGAAAGCCUGAUCCAGCCAUGCCGCGUGUGUGAAGAAGGUCUUCGGAUUGUAAAGCACUUUAAGUUGGGAGGAAGGGUAGUAACCUAAUACGUUGCUACUUUGACGUUACCGACAGAAUAAGCACCGGCUAACUUACGUGUCCAGCA
rnacentral:rRNA from 1 species